UACGUAGGGGGGCUAGCGUUGUCCGGAUUUAUUGGGCGUAAAGAGCGUGUAGGCGGCCAGGUAGGUCUGGUGUGAAAACUCGAGGCUUAACCUCGAGAUGUCAUCGGAAACCAUCUGGCUAGAGUCCGGAAGAGGAGAGUGGAAUUCCUGGUGUAGCGGUGAAAUGCGCAGAUAUCAGGAGGAACACCGGUGGCGAAGGCGGGUCUCUGGGCCGAUACUGACGCUGAGGAGCGAAAGCGUGGGGAGCGAACAGG
rnacentral:rRNA from 1 species